GCUUGCAUUAUCAAUGCUCCGAGAAAACAGAAAUGGUUUUGACAUCGUUAUAAGUGAUGUACACAUGCCAGACAUGGAUGGUUUCAAACUUCUUGAGCAUGUUGGUCUGGAAAUGGACCUGCCUGUUAUAAUGAUGUCUGCGGAUGACAGUAAGGAUGUCGUUAUGAAAGGUGUUACUCAUGGUGCAUGUGAUUAUCUGAUCAAACCGGUGCGUAUUGAGGCUUUGAAGAACAUUUGGCAGCAUGUGAUUCGUAAAAAGAAGCACGAAUGGAAGGACAGAGAUUUUGAUCAAUCAACAAGCGUGGAAGAUGGAGAUCAACAGCAGAAACCUCCAGAAGAUGUUGAUUAUUCCUCUUCAGCUAAUGAAGGGAAUUGGAAAAGCUCGAAGAGAAGAAAGGAGGAGGAAGAUGAAACUGAAGAAAGGGAUGAUUCAUCUACAUUAAAGAAGCCACGUGUGGUUUGGUCGGUGGAGCUUCAUCAACAGUUUGUACAAGCUGUCAACCAACUUGGAAUUGACAAGGCUGUUCCCAAGAAAAUUCUCGAGCUGAUGAAUGUUCCUGGGCUAACCAGAGAAAAUGUUGCUAGCCACCUACAGAAAUAUCGGCUGUACCUAAGGAGGUUGAGCGGUGUAUCACAGCAUCAGAAUGGACUGAAUAACUCGUUCAUGGGGCACCCAGAAGCAACAUAUGGGACAAUGACUUCUUUCAAUGGGCUAGAGCUUCAAGCUUUAGCUGCCACCGGUCAACUACCCGCACAAAGUCUUGCUACCCUCCAGGCGGCUGCAUUAGGUAGGUCUGCGACAAAAUCUGCCAUAUCGAUGCCUCUAGUAGAUCAAAGAAACCUUUUCAGCUUUGAAAAUCCGAAGUUAAGAUUUUCCGAGGGACAACAACCAUUAAAUAAUAGCAAUAAGCAAAUUAACUUGCUUCAUGGGAUCCCAACUACCAUGGAACCGAAGCAGCUGGCUGAUUUGCACCAGUCCUCACAGUCCUUUGUGGCUAUGAAUAUGCAAGGGAAUGCUAGAAUGCAACAAAACAACGCUCUACUAAUGCAUAUGUCUCAACAACAACAACAAUCGUCUAGGGCUCAAAUGCUAAAUGAAACCAAUAAUGGUCACGUUUCAAGGCCGCCAUUGUCCAUGUCACAACCUGCUGCAGUCUUAUCACGAAAUAGCAUUGUUGACAACGUACGAGGGCCAAUUUACAAUCCAG
rnacentral:misc_RNA from 1 species